UUUUCUAAAUUCUAAAUAUUUGUACAAUCUAUUCAAUUUUUGUUAUAUUCUAAACAAAUUUUAAUUAACUUCCAAAAAGUAAUAAUUGCGGAUGAGUUCUCUCAACGCAGAUUUUGGACUUGACAGCAGCUGCUGCCGGCGUGUAGCAUUGCGGGGAUUUUUAUGUUAAUUAAAUCUGCGGCCACGGCGGUCGCGAUGCCGGUGGCGGUCGGAUCGGUUAACCCAAAAAAAUUUAAGGCCCCAACCUGGUGCUGACAUUAAUCAUUUUGCCUUUCAAAUGCAUUUUCAUUAGGCGCGGGCCAAAUUGAAAGUUGUCUCAGUGCACAUGCCCCCGGGAGCCGUGGCUCAUUAAUAACCGACAAGAAGGCAUAAUUCUUUGUCUUCAUCUGGAUGCCAAAACGUUGACAGGCUGCCGAAUGCGGUGGAUGUUCUUAGAAGCACACCUUCUACAAGGGGCGGCGUCAUUCAAUGUAGAAUAUUGACCAACUAACGAAUUUCCCACCGAACCUGCCAAAUGGAGUGCCUUAAACUACGGCCCGUCCGAACUUUUCCAAUUAAAUCCGUGGCAAAAGUUGUGUUUUUCUCCGUGUGCUAGUGGGGAAACAAGCAAAGUUCUAAUGAGUUUAUUAAUCUGCGAUAAAUUUGGUCUGCCUAUGCAUAUGCGGGCGGCGGCGUAUCGUCGAAAGUUUUAUUAAAAGAAAAACCUUGCGAUAGUUGUCAUAAUUUCAUGUCAGAGGUGUUUAGGACCAUCAAUUGCAGCUCCCGACAACUAGAUCAUCAUUUAGCUUAAGGCCAAGUCUUUAAGCCAACGUAGAGCAAAGGGACAUUCAAGCCAGCAUAUUUCUCACUGGAGAUAAUUAAUCAGCAAAGUGUCAAUUUAUCAAUCCAGCGGCCGAUGAAUCCCAUCAAUGGAAAUUCAAUGCCAGUCAGAGAUCUAAAAUGACUCUUUCUUUUCCCUAUUUGGGCCAUGAGUAUAUUGACAGGAUAAACGCAACUCAACAAGCUGUUAGAGCCUGGCCAUGGAAAAUAACCCGCGAAAAAAAUAAGUCAGAGGACAGAAAAAAAAAUUACCUCAAAGGGAACGCUAAACGUUUGGAGAAAGCUCAUUUAAUCAACCGUUGCCCUGGCAACCACCAUCCAACCCCAACCCUCCAGCGCAUUGAAAGGAAAAUGUCAACUAAUUAUUAUGACAAACAUUAAACAUCCGCCCCGUUGGCCCAUUAGCAUACGGGUACUAUGGCUUAACUGCUUAGCGAAAUGAAAUUGAAACGCUGUCAAUGGUAUUAUUACAGCCAGAGAAAAAAGCCCUGAGAAUCAAAUAGUAACACUUAGAUUGAAAAAUGUAUGCCAAUAUUAUUAGAUCCAAACGAAUUUUAUUCAAUUUCACCUCGGCUGUAUGUAAAAACCGAAUAUAUGUUUUAAAUAUAGGUGUCAUUUUAGCAUGCCCGGUUUUUCUGAGUGCAGUUGGAAUAAAAUCCCAUAUAAGAUAUGAACAUUCAUUUACCCCGCCGUGAAGAUAAAAUCAAACAUGAGCAAA